rnacentral:rRNA from 1 species
ACGACGACUCUCGGCAACGGAUAUCUCAGCUCUCGCAUCGAUGAAGAAUGUAGCGAAAUGCGAUACCUGGUGUGAAUUGUAGAAUCUCGUGAACCAUCGAGUCUUUGAAUGCAAGUUGUGCCCGAGGCCACCCGGUUGAGGGCACGCCUACCUGGGCAUCACGC